rnacentral:rRNA from 1 species
CAUGCAAGUCGAGCGGCAGCGCGGGGGCAACCCUGGCGGCGAGCGGCGAACGGGUGAGUAAUGCAUCGGAACGUGUCCUCUUGUGGGGGAUAACCAGUCGAAAGACUGGCUAAUACCGCAUGAGCUCGAGAGAGGAAAGCAGGGGAUCCGCAAGGACCUUGCGCGAGAGGAGCGGCCGAUGCCCGAUUAGCUAGUUGGUGGGGUAACGGCCUACCAAGGCGACGAUCGGUAGCUGGUCUGAGAGGACGAUCAGCCACACUGGGACUGAGACACGGCCCAGACUCCUACGGGAGGCAGCAGUGGGGAAUAUUGGACAAUGGGCGAAAGCCUGAUCCAGCCAUGCCGCGUGAGUGAUGAAGGCCUUAGGGUUGUAAAGCUCUUUCAGUGGGGACGAUAAUGACGGUACCCACAGAAGAAGCCCCGGCUAACUUCGUGCCAGCAGCCGCGGUAAUACGAAGGGGGCUAGCGUUGUUCGGAUUUACUGGGCGUAAAGCGCACGUAGGCGGAUCGUUAAGUUGGGGGUGAAAUCCUGGAGCUCAACUCCAGAACUGCCUUCAAUACUGGCGAUCUAGAGUCCGGAAGAGGUGAGUGGAACUCCUAGUGUAGAGGUGGAAUUCGUAGAUAUUANGAAGAACACCAGUGGCGAAGCGGCUCACUGGUCCGGUACUGACGCUGA